UACGUAGGGUGCAAGCGUUGUCCGGAAUUAUUGGGCGUAAAGAGCUCGUAGGCGGCUUGUCGCGUCGGCUGUGAAAACCUGGGGCUCAACCCCGGGGCUGCAGCCGAUAUGGGCAAGCUAGAAUUCGGUAGGGGAGACUGGAAUUCCUGGUGUAGCGGUGAAAUGCGCAGAUAUCAGGAGGAACACCGGUGGCGAAGGCGGGUCUCUGGGCCGAAAUUGACGCUGAGGAGCGAAAGCGUGGGGAGCAAACAGG
rnacentral:rRNA from 1 species